CUUUGCGCCUCCUCCUGGGACCACGCCAUGGAGGCGAAGAGGAGGAGGAUUGUAUGGGCGUUGGGCAAUGCCGGCAGCACCAUGCAUGGAUGAGAAGUAGGCAGCAAGCGGGAGACAGAUCUCGGCAAGGCUGGUGUGCGUAUGGGCAGAUCCUGUUUCUUUCUCUUGUCCCCUUUCCUCAGUUAGCCUAAUUUGGUUCCUAUGUUUCUGUCAAAUUGGCUUUCUGAUGUUUAUCCAAGACUAGUAGAAAAAUUCAAAGUGAGGGGAAAGCAAAUGGCCGUGCUUAAUUAUUCAAAGGCUAGUUUCUUGCCUGUUCAGACUAGAGUUACUCAGUUAGAAGAAGAUGUGAAAUGUGGAUUAGUUGGAGUGGUUUCUAUUGUUUUUUGGCUGGAACCCGUUUUGGUACCCUUACUGCAUAGUUGCAGUUGAUUAUGAAUGGACAUAGUUCCCGAAGCGUGCAACAGGGUUCCUGAUAUUCUAGUCAUUAAUCAUGAAUGGACACAAUUCCCUUAUAGAGCCAUUAACAUGUACCAAUUGUAUCCAGCAGUAGCGUCUAAGUGCAAAGAUAUACAAGGUUGGGAGUGCUAUUGUUUGCAGAGGUAUUGUCAACGAAGGUCACUCCAUUGAGACCAAAAACUGAUGUUACCAUCGGUGAUGCUACGGAAGAGUAAUCAUGUUUGCUAGCUUUCUGUGUCUGUGGCCGGUCUUCCAGAGUUUGAUGGGGAAAAUGAGCAAAGAAGGAAUAUUUUUCUGUCAUUGAGGUCUUAUGUAAUCUAAAGUAUAGUGCUUUCAUAAUGUUGAUGAAUUUUUUUUGUUGCGUCUCAUGGAACAUGCAAGUCUAGAGGAAGGGGAAGGCAAGACCAAGACCUUGGGUUGCACCAGAAUGAAUAUGAUGAUUUUUUUGUAAUUUAGAUGCAUGAAUGGAGAUGAUUUUUUAUGA